rnacentral:rRNA from 1 species
UACGGAGGGAGCUAGCGUUGUUCGGAAUUACUGGGCGUAAAGCGCACGUAGGCGGCUUUGUAAGUUAGGGUGAAAGCCUGGAGCUCAACUUCGAAUUGCCUUAAGACUGCAUCGCUUGAAUCCAGGAGAGGUGAGUGGAAUUCCGAGUGUAGAGGUGAAAUUCGUAGAUAUUCGGAAGAACACCAGUGCGAAGCGGCUCACUGGACUGUAUGACGCUGAGUGCGAAGCGUGAGCAACAG